CAAUACCUUUUUGGGAUGGUCAUUUGCCCUGACCAGGUCGGAUGAGCCAGGUUCCCCGCUAAAACGGGUCUUUGGAUCCUUGGUAGACUCAAACCGCAUUUGAGACUGAGGCCAGAUAAUUGCUUUUCAAGAUAGAGAUGAGCGUGAACGCGUGCUUGGUGGCAAUACAAGAAGAUGGGAGCAAAUCAUCCGAUUAGUGCAAGAGAUGUUGCCUGAUGUCGAACAGUCGAUGCCCUUUGCAAACUACGAUCAAAGCUUGCAAGCUCUCUCCAUUGCUGCCUUCUAAGGUGCUUCAUUGAAUUCAUUUGUUACUUAAUUAUUAAUAAAAAUGAGGUUAAAUAUAGAUUUAUUAUUGUGGGUUGUUUUUUUAGCAUGAAUGGGAACGAGAACAGAUUCAUCGCUAUUAUCAAUGCAAAAAACAUGGGUCGAUUGGGCGUUUCGAUAAUGCUUUUUUCUAGCUUUUAAUAUCGAUAGAGUACGUAAUAUGUAAUAUGUAAUAUGCAAAGCUUUCAUAUAAUUUGAGUAAGAAUACUGAAA